UCCGGUCUGAACUCAGAUCAUGUAAUAAUGUUUCGUCGAACAGACGAAAAUAAAACUCUUCUGCGGGUUUUAUUAUAUAAUGAUUCAACAUCGAGGUCACAAUUGAUUGCGUAGAUAAGGUCUCUUAGCAAUUAUUAUGCUGUUAUCCCUGGAGUAAUUUUCUUUAUUCAAUAUGCUUUGAUUAUCAGAUUUAUUUAAUUGAAUUAUCCCAAUAAAAUAAGGUAAAUUUCCAGGGUCUUCUCGUUUAUGAGGUUACUUAAAGUAUUUGCACUUUAAAAAUGAUUUAAAUCAAAUUUUUAAUUAACAAUUAAUAUUACUUUUUUCCUUUCAUUCUAGUUUAAAUUUAUUAAACAAGUGAUUAUGCUACCUUAGCACAGUCAGGUUACUGCAGCAAUUUAAAAAAUCAUUGAGC
rnacentral:rRNA from 1 species